rnacentral:rRNA from 1 species
GACGAACGCUGGCGGCGUGCUUAACACAUGCAAGUCGAACGGAAAGGCCCCUUUGGGGGUACUCGAGUGGCGAACGGGUGAGUAACACGUGAGUAACCUGCCCUUGACUUCGGGAUAACUUCAGGAAACUGGGGCUAAUACCGGAUAGGAAUCCUUGCUGCAUGGUGGGGGUUGGAAAGCUUCGGCGGUUUUGGAUGGACUCGCGGCUUAUCAGCUUGUUGGUGGGGUAGUGGCUUACCAAGGCUUUGACGGGUAGCCGGCCUGAGAGGGCGACAGGCCACAUUGGGACUGAGAUACGGCCCAGACGCCUACGGGAGGCAGCAGGAGGGAAUAUUGCACAAGGGGCGGAAGCCUGAUGCAGCAACGCCGCGGGCGGGAUGACGGCCUUCGGGUUGUAAACCGCUUUCAGCAGGGGCGAAGCUUGUGGUGACGGUACCUGCAGAAGAAGCACCGGCUAACUACGUG